UACAGAGGUCUCAACCGUUGUUCGGAUUCAUUGGGCGUAAAGGGUCCGUAGGCGGAUCUGUAAGUCAGUGGUGAAAUCUCACAGCUUAACUGUGAAACUGCCAUUGAUACUGCAGGUCUUGAGUGUUAUUGAAGUAGCUGGAAUAAGUAGUGUAGCGGUGAAAUGCAUAGAUAUUACUUAGAACACCAAUUGCGAAGGCAGGUUACUAAGCAACAACUGACGCUGAUGGACGAAAGCGUGGGGAGCGAACAGG
rnacentral:rRNA from 1 species